UUGAGGUGGCGUGCGCCACUCCAGGAGCUACGUCAGAUCUGGUAGGGAAUCCAGUGAUAUCCCUCUGCAAUACGUCCCACAGUUCUAGCUCGAGCUGCUAUCUGAGGUUAUUUUUUCACUUUUUGAUAAUGUCCUUUUGUUUUUAAUUUUGAGUCAGAUUUAUCUAUUUUUUUUCCUGUUUCUCAUGCUUUUGGUGACAUAUCUAAGAAUCCAAUUUUUGAAAACUGCACAGUGAAUAAGGAACACCAAAGAAUUGACACAUUUGAAUUAUGGUGUUGGCAAAGACUACUGAAUAUAUCAGGGACUACCAGAAGAACAGACACAUCUGUCUUGGAAGAAGUACAGCCAGAAUGCUCCUUAGAAGUGAGGAUGGCGAGACUUCGUUUCAUGUAUUUUGGACCUGUUAUCAGGAGGAACCAAUCCCUGGAGAGGGACAUCAUGCUUGGUAAAGCAGAGGGUCAGUAAAAAAAAGAAAAGGAAGACUCUCAAUGAGAUGGAUUGACACAGUGACUCCAACAGUGGGCUCAAGCACAGUGAUGAUUGUGAGCAUGGCACAGGAUCGGGCAACAUUUUGUUCUGUUAUACGUGGGGUUGCUAUGAGUUGGAGCUGAUUCGAUGGCACCUAACAACAUCAUCUACAAAUGGAGAUAACUUUACCUCUUCUUUCUAAUUUGGAUGCUUUUAUUUCUUUUUCUUACCUAAUUACUCUGUCUAGAGCUUCCAGUACAAUGGUGAAAGCAAGCAUCCUUGUCUUGUUGCUGAUCUUAGGCAGAGAGCUUUAGGUCUUUCUCGAUUAACUAUGAUGUUAGCUAUGGGUUUUUCAUAAAUGUUGAGGAAGUUCCCUUUUAUUCCUAAUUUUUUGAGUGUUUUUAUCGUGAAAAAGUAUUGGAUUUUUUUCAAAUGCCUUUUCUAUAUCAAUUGAGAUGAUCAUGUGUUUUUUUUUCUCCCUUUUGUUUUGCUAAUGUGGUGUAUUACAUUGAUUUUUCUAUGUUGAACCACCCUUGUAUUCCUGGGAUAAAUCCCACUUGAUCCCACAGCAUCAGCCAGGUGAGAAGUAAGCAGUGGAGGGUAGAAGGACUUGGCUUCAAAGAGCCUUGCUGGGUCACACACUGUCAUUGGUAACUCUUCAGACAUGAGUAAAUGAAGGAAGCAUCAGAGGUUUUUGGUGUCCUCCAGCAUGGGCAGAAAUACAUGUGAAGACUGAGCCACUGCCCCAUCACCCCAAAAUACAGGGAAAUGGGGUAAGACUAACUGCCAAAAGGACUGCCAGAUAUCCAGGCCUGAACUUUUUGGCCCAUAUUGUGGAGUAGGGCAACUAAGAAAGAAAUGAUUUUGUGAAUUAGAGUCUGAAAUUCUAAUACCUUUAUCACCCACCCUAUCAUAAAACACGAAUAUUGACUUCCUUUUUGCUUUUGAACAUCCUGCUUUCACUGCCCUUACUUGUGAUCUGAAGCCCUGGUGGUGCAGUGGUUGAGUUUGGCUGCUAACCCAAAAGGUCAGCAGUUAAAAAUCUGCAAUCCACUCCUUGGAAACCCUAUGGUGCAGUUCUGCUCUGUCCUGUGGGGUCUCUAUGAGUCAGAAUCAACUCGGCGGCAACAGGUUUGGUUUAUUUGUAUUCUACUGUAGUGAAAAAUGCCUCUGUCUGCAUUCAUAUACCUAGUCCUUAUAAUGUGAGUUAGACUUGGGUCAGUACAGAGAACCCUCCCACUGAGGACCACAGCAGGCUCUUUGCAUUCUUGAUAUAUUAAGGUUUUCUUAUGAGCUCAGUGGGAUUGCAUGUGGGAAGAUCUUUAAGUUCUCCAGGCAUUCCAGUUGUUAUUGAGUCAUUUCUGAUGCUUGGUGACCCCAUAUGUUACAGAGUAGAACUGAAUUACAUAGGGUUUUCAAGGCCGUGACCUUUCAGAAACAAAUCACAAGGCCCUUCUUCCGAGGUGCCUCUGGGUGGUUUCAAACUGCCAACCUUUCAAUUAGUAGUUGAGUGCUUAAUCAUUUGUGCCAUCCAGGACUCCCAUUCUCCAAGCAUAAGGACCCUAAAAUACAUUCCUAAUUUUGUCUCAGGCCCACUGACCUCACUGAAAAAACUUAUAAUUGUUACAUAAUCCCUGAAGGAACAUGAAUUUACCAAUUCUGGUACAAGACAACUUUCACCUCUUUGCAUUUUUCCUUGUAUGAGACAGGGGCCUCUGUACCCGGCCCUUGGGGGAUUAGAGUAGAUGGAAUGUUAGUGACAAGUAAUACCAGGCAGUAUUUGCUGAGUUUUAACUAAUGAUUUCUGACACUUGGAGAGUUCAAAAAUGUUUAUAAAUAUACUUCAAAACACUUUCAAAGGACUUGAACUUCCUAUUCCAGCAAUGAUGGACUAAGCCCUUACUGGAUAUCUUUUCUGCAGAAAACGACUAGGGAGGCUGUACUGGGUCUCCAGCAUGGAGGCAACCUUCCUGCUGACUUCUGCCUCUGUCACUGUUUGUCCCCACUUCUGUACCGUAUUGUAACUGUGUUAUUGAACAUCUUCAAGUGGUUUACAACAACAAUGGUGUUGGAAGUCUGUGUAGACCUGAGAGGGACCACCACCUCGGGGAUUCUCAUUUUAGACAAACAGCCCCUUGACCCUGCUGUGGCUGAGAGAGUAAGGGGGAUCUCAGGAGUGCAACCACCCUGGAGGAGUAACAAGUUCCUGGAUUCCACAAUGAAGCUCUGCAGUCCCAUCACUCUUCCACUGUCUUCUCAUAAAAGGACCUUACACCCUGUAAUCUAUGAAUAUACACAAAGGCACUGCCCUGUUAUAUAUGAGCUACUGUUACCUGGGAAAGUAAUACUUACAUGGGGUAAGCUGACCCACCCCAAGCUCCUGGCCCUCUCAUGCUUGUGUGAAUCCCUCCAAACUGGGUCCCAUUCAUGAACCUGGUAACACAGGAUCACAACCCCAGAACUUCGCCCCAUUGAGUUUUCCCCAGGACACUGUAUUCUCGGACCUGGCAGUCCUGGUUGCUUCUGUACAUGCUUCAGGUAUCCUAAGACUGAGUGUGAACACCUAUGGGCUACAAUGUGUCCACACCCUUUUGAUAUAAACCAAAAAAAUCAAACUCUUUGCUGUCAAGUCGAUUCUGACUCAUAGUGACCUUAUAGGACAGGGUUGAACUGCCCCGGUGAGUUUCCAAGGAGCGGCUGGUGGAUUCGAACUGCUGACCUUUUGGUUAGCAGCUGAAUGCUUAACCACUGUGCCACCAGGACAGCAUCUCUUUUUUCACGGUCAUUUCUGUGGCAGUGAUAACAUAUUACCCAGUGCUGUUGAGUCGAUUCCGACUCAUAGUGACCCUAUAGGACAGAGUAGAACUGCCCCAUAGAGUUUCCAAGGAGUGCCUAUUGGAUUUGAACUGCCAAUCCUUUGGUUAGCAGCCGUAGCACUUAACCACUACCACCAGGGUUUCCAAUAACAUAUUACAUGUGUCAAAAUGUGAACUGAUGUUCUGGGAGACUGUCAAUGAAGACCAGAGAAAAGCCUUAGAGGAAGACUACAAAGACGACUGUAGCUGUACUGUAAGUAGACCUCUCAGCUGUUCCUACAGCUCAGGAUUGGUUGAUCUUUUCUUCUUACUGCUGGCUUUCUCUCCCAGAUCUUUGUUUUUUCAAUUUGGAACAUCUCCUUUCUAUGCUCUUUGGACCCACUUUUGGUUCACUAUCACCUACCACAUUUCUCUUUCCUUUAUGGCAUGGGUCCUAGGACUGGAAAGAAGUGGGAGCUGAACUUUGCUGUGGUUUUUUUCACUCCCCAGGCACAGUAUGACGUUUACUGGCCAUGUGACACUAAACUGAAGCAAGCUUGCAGAAGCAUCCCUUCUGCCAUUGUGAAUAUCUAUACGUGCACUUGUAGUACACUAGUACCUUCAUCCCCAUCUCUUCUGGUGUUUGUGAAUGGAGACAUAUGAAUGAGUCCAUGCAACAUAUCUCUCCAGUACCCUCAUUUUCUACUUUAGAAAACAUGUGCAAUGACAGAAUCCUAACCUAAUGAGACACUACCUGUCAUAGAUUAAAUUAUGUCCCCCCAAAAAUGUGUGUAUUAACUUGGUUAGGUCAUGAUCCCAGUAUUCUGUGGUUGUCCUCCAUUUUGUGAUUGUAAUUUUAUGUUAAAGAGGAUUAGGGUGGGAUUGUAACAGCCUUACCAGGUCACAUCCCUGAUCCAAUGUAAAGGGAGUUUCUCUGGGAUGCGGCCUGCUCCACCUUUUAUCUCUCCAGCGAUAAAAGGAAAGGGAAGCAAGCAGAGAGUUUGGAACCUCAUACCACCAAGAACACAGCACCGGGAGCAGAGCGCAUCCUUUGGACCUGAGGUUUCUAUGCUGAGAUGCUCCCAGACCAAGGGAAGACUGAUGACAAGGACUUUCCUCCAGAGCUGACAGAAAGAGAAAGCCUUCCCCUGGAGCUGGCUCUCUGAAUUUGGACUUCUAGCCUACUGGACUGUGAGAGAAUAAACUUCUCUUUGUUAAAGCCAUCCACUUGCGGUGUUUCUGUUAUAGCAGCACUAGAUGGCUAGGACACUGCUGGAGAACACUAUACUCAUAAAGCCCAUGCAGCACCCAGGUACUUCAGUUAUUGUCUUUUAUUGUGCUCUCCAUGGAGUGUCUCUCGAUCUGGCUGCUGCAGUGAGGGGUAUGCAAACUCUGUCAUGAUGAGUACGCAUGCACUCUUCCCUUGUGCAUAUAUUUUGUUGUGUAGUUAGUUUAGUUUAUGUAUCAGUAAACUUCAAAACAUUUCAAAUAUCAAUAAACUUAAAAAAGAUGGUGGAAAACUCACAUUGUUUACAUUUUCACAGUUUUUAUUUCCUGUCUCUCCACUGCAGGUUCCCAUUCAUCCCAGAAUCCCAUCCAUAACUGUGCACCUUCUUAUUCUGAAGUAUACUCUCUCCUCACCCUACAGAGGCCCUAAAUAAACCCUGGGCUUAAAGAAGGUACUAGACCCAGACACCCUUAGGAUCAGACCAAACGGCAAGUCAUGAACCUUCCUGAAUAAUCUUAGAAUGUAAAAGCCCUUGAGGCUUGGGGACCAGAAAGGGAAUUUGGAUGUGUGGAGCUGAGUCUUAGCCCGGGGGCUGCUCUUCCUUAGAGGAUGUGCACAGUCCUGGACAGGUGGGCCUGGGAACUGGCUGCAUUCAGAGGGCUCAGCCAGGCCAGCUAUGCGAUUCCUCUCUAAAUGUGUAUUCCAUCUGUCUUCUUUUUCACCUUGGAGAGGGUCUGGGGGACUGACCAUCUGUGUUAUGACCAGGGGAUUUAGAGGCUGUAGGGGCAGGCCAGAUGGGCCAGGUGAAAGCAGAGGAGGUCUCCAUCACACACAUGAGUUUAAGACUGAGCUGGGCCCCUCUCCCAGGAAGAAGCUGUUGAUAAUCCUGCCUGUGAGUGGGCUGGAAUGUGAGAUAUAGCCACAAUUGCUGGCCUAGUCUUAGAUAUGCACUUGGGAGGGGAAGGUCUAGGAGUGGCCAUCCACUGAGUGUCCUGCCCAGAGGGGACAGCAAGCUUUGUCCUGUGUGUGACCUCCUGGGAUUGCCCACCGUUUUUCAUGAGGCUUAAAUGCAGUAGAAACUCAUUUAUAAAGCUUUUAUUUAUUGCUGCACUUUUAUACCUAGUAAAUAACAAUAGUAGUCAUAUUUGGUAAUCUGAAUAAUGCCCUCCCCCCAAAAAAUCUGUAUCUAAAACCUCUGAACCUGUGUAUAUGUUAUCUUAUACGGUAAAUGGACUUUUUAGAAAUUGAUUAAAGUGAAGUCAUUGAGUUGGGGAGAUUAUCCUGGAAUAUAUGGGUUGGCCAAGUGUUGAUAUAUGGGUCCUUAAAAAUGGAGACCAUUCUCCAGAUUGAGUCGGAAACUGCUGUGAAAAUGGAAGAUGCUUCAGAGGUUUUGCACAUUGCUGGCUUUGAAACAACAAAGGGGGCCAAGAGUCAAGGAAUGCAGUGACCUCUGGAUCCUCAAAAGCAAGGACAAAAUUGUCCUCUAGAACCUCCAUAAAGGAACUCAGGCUUGCUUACGCCUUCAUUUUAGCCUGGGAGGCCCAUGUUAAGUUUCUGAUGUACAGAAAUGUAAAAUGAUAAAUUUGUGUUCUUUAGGCUGCCGAGGUUGUGGUAUUUUGUUACAGCAGAAAGAGAAGAUGGAUACAUAAAUGAGUAUGAAGAAAUUAGUAAAAACAAUAGUAAGAGCAACCAACAUCGAGGGAUACCGCUGUGUGCCAGGUAUUGCUCCCUGUCCUGUAUGUAUUUCGAGUGAUUUACACUUGACAGUCCUGGAAGGCAAAACUAUUCAAUUUUACACUGAAGAGCCUGAGGGACAGAGAUGAUCAAUGCCCUUUCCUGAGAUACCAAAGGCUGAAAUGACCAAGUUCUGAUCCAUCCUGGAGCAGUGAGAGGCUUGGCUCCAUCCUCUUCAACGCUGUUUGUCCAGGUAAUUAAAGAGAAAUUUAAUCCAGGUGUCUGCUGUCUAUCCUUGGUGCACAUUACGUUGAUAUAGUGUUGGUAAUGUCGUCAGCAAGGUCAGGUAGAAAUAUAGAGCUUUAUGAGUGUAACCACAGAAGAUAAUUACUUCAACACUUUCCCGUUGUCAUCUGCCCAAACACACAACCCCUUGAUUCUUGCUAAAGUUUGAAACUCAGCAGUAAAUUUUGGCUGUCCUGACAGUAACCUUGGGCAUUUUCCUAGGGCUAUCUUUCAGAGCAGCACCAAAUUUAUGCCUAGUGUCCUGCGUAAAAUCAGACUUCUUUUAAGAGAUAGCAUUCUAAAUACUUUAGGAUGUGCUAACUGGAACAUGUUGUUGUUGUC